AGAGUUUGAUCCUGGCUCAGGACGAACGCUGGCGGCGUGCUUAACACAUGCAAGUCGAACGGUGAAGGGAGCUUGCUCCCGGAUCAGUGGCGAACGGGUGAGUAACACGUGAGCAACCUACCCUUGACUCUGGGAUAACAGUUGGAAACAGCUGCUAAUACCGGAUACGACCACGGCGGGCAUCUGCUGGGGUGGAAAGCUCCGACGGUCAAGGAUGGGCUCGCGGCCUAUCAGCUUGUUGGUGAGGUGACGGCUCACCAAGGCGACGACGGGUAGCCGGCCUGAGAGGGCGACCGGCCACACUGGGACUGAGAUACGGCCCAGACUCCUACGGGAGGCAGCAGUGGGGAAUAUUGCACAAUGGGCGAAAGCCUGAACCUGCGACGCCGCGUGAGUGAUGAAGGUCGUAAGAUCGUAAAACUCUUUUCAGGGACCUGAAAGGCAGCGCUCUAACAGAGCGUCUGCUGUGACUAUCCCUGGAAUAAGCCCCAGCUAACUACGUGCCAGCAGCCGCGGUAAU
rnacentral:rRNA from 1 species